rnacentral:rRNA from 1 species
AUUGAACGCUGGCGGCAGGCCUAACACAUGCAAGUCGAACGAGAGGCGGACGGGCGAGUAAUGUCUGGAAAACUGGCCGACCGAGGGGGAUAACUACUGGAAACGGUAGAAAAAACUGCAUACCACCGGAUGUGCCCAGAGGGGAUUAGCUAGUAGGUGGGGUAAUGGCUCACCAAGGCGACGAUCCCUAGCUGGUCUGAGAGGCUGACCAGCCACAGUGGAACUGAGACACGGUCCAUACUCCUACGGGAGGCAGCAGUGGGGAAUAUUGCACAAUGGGCGCAAGCCUGAUGGAGCAAUGCCGCGUGUGUGAAGAAGGCCUUCGGGUCGUAAAGUGCUUUCGGCAGAGAGGCGUUACUCGCAGAAGAAGCACCGGCUAACUCCGUGCCAGCAGCCGCGGUAAUAC